CGUCCCCCACCCUUCUUGGACGGACCAUCGUCAAGAUCCCGACCGCCCUUUUCUUUAGCCAAGCCUCUUAUCCAGACCAAUUUACACACAGUCACACACUGUCAUAUAUAGUUCCAUGGCCACAUGCCAUUUCUUUCCCGCCAUUUCCCUCCUCACCACCACCCACUUCAAAUCCCCAAACUGGCCAAACCCUAGCCCUCUCUCUCCAAAAACCACAAAAUGCAGAGCCCCUACACUCGCCCGAUCGUCCCUCACCGACCAGUCCCUCACAGCCAAACGCAUCCUCCUCGACCUCAUCUCCGACCAAGACCGAGGCCUCAAAACCCAGAACAACCCUCGAAUGCUCUCUGAAAUCGUCGAAGCCAUUGACGCCAUGGCCGUUGUGGGCAGCGAUUCGGUCACCACCGGCUCUUCACUCUCCGGCACGUGGAGGUUGCUAUGGACAACGGAGAAAGAACAGCUUUUCAUCAUCAAGAACGCCUCUCUCUUCGGGACACAAGCCGGCGACGUGUUACAGGUCAUUGACGUUGAAGAGCGUCGUCUGAACAACGUCAUCACAUUUCCCCCACAUGGGGUUUUCUUUGUUCGGUCAAGUAUCGAAAUUGCUUCGUCUCAGAGAGUGAAUUUCAGAUUUACUAGUGCAGUUCUACGAGGGGAGAAUUGGGAGAUUCCAUUGCCACCAUUUGGGCAGGGGUGGUUCGAAUCUGUAUACCUAGACAAUGAUAUUCGGGUUGUAAAGGAUAUCCGUGGAGAUUAUUUAGUUGUUGAUCGUGCUCCCUAUGAAUGGACAGAAUGAUUUAUUUUAACUUGGGUUUGAAUCUGUAUAUAUAGACAAUGAUAUUCGGGUUGCUAAGGAUAUCCGUGGAGAUUAUUUGGUUGUUGAUCGUGCUCCUUAUGAAUGGACAGAAUGAUUUAUUUUAACUCGGUUUGCUUGCUUUUGGAUGGUACUCUUGGCUCUUGAUGUUAGCCCUUGAAACGUCAUGGUUGAAAGCGUGAUUUUGUUAAGUCAGAUUUUGGCUCUCUUCACUGUAUAGUUCAGUCGAAUCUUGCUGUUGAACUCUUAUAUCAUCAUCAUCAUCCUUGCCUUUAUCCCAUAGAGUCAGAUUUUGAACUCUCAUAUCUUGUAUAUAAUGUCAAGUUUUACUGCAACAAUAUGGGCUGCAUUUAUUCUUUGUAAAAUCAGGUUUCAGAGUGCUCUGGAGUGUAUAUAUUUCGUUGUAUUAUACAUAAAUUUUCUCAGAUUGACUAUAGAACUUACUUGUAUGCUAUUUUCUUGAAGAUAAUCUCAUAUAUUUUGUUUCGACUCA